rnacentral:rRNA from 1 species
ACCCGCACAAGCGGUGGAUGAUGUGGUUUAAUUCGAUGCAACGCGAAAACCUUACCCACCUUUGACAUGGCAGGAAGUUUCCAGAGAUGGAUUCGUGCUCGAAAGAGAACCUGCACACAGGUGCUGCAUGGCUGUCGUCAGCUCGUGUCGUGAGAUGUUGGGUUAAGUCCCGCAACGAGCGCAACCCUUGUCAUUAGUUGCCAUCAUUUAGUUGGGCACUCUAAUGAGACUGCCGGUGACAAACCGGAGGAAGGUGGGGAUGACGUCAAGUCCUCAUGGCCCUUAUGGGUAGGGCUUCACACGUCAUACAAUGGUCGGUACAGAGGGUUGCCAAGCCGCGAGGUGGAGCCAAUCCCUUAAAACCAUCCUCAGUUCGGAUUGUAGGCUGCAAUCGCCUGCAUGAAGCCGGAGCUGCUAGUAACCGCAGGUCAGCUAUACUGCGGUGAAUACGUUCUCGGGCCUU